UACCAACAACAACCUUUUUAUUUUUCAUUUUACUCUUAUUGAGUAAAUACUCCUUUUCCAUCGGCAAAACUGCCGGUGGUUUUUUUG
rfam:Mycobacterium abscessus strain PAP053 genome assembly, contig: ERS075544SCcontig000018